rnacentral:rRNA from 1 species
AUUGAACGCUGGCGGCAGGCCUAACACAUGCAAGUCGAGCGGAUGAAGGAAGCUUGCUCCUGGAUUCAGCGACGGACGGGUGAGUAAUGCCUAGGAAUCUGCCUGGUAGUGGGGGAUAACGUCCGGAAACGGGCGCUAAUACCGCAUACGUCCUGAGGGAGAAAGUGGGGGAUCUUCGGACCUCACGCUAUCAGAUGAGCCUAGGUCGGAUUAGCUAGUUGGUGGGGUAAAGGCCUACCAAGGCGACGAUCCGUAACUGGUCUGAGAGGAUGAUCAGUCACACUGGAACUGAGACACGGUCCAGACUCCUACGGGAGGCAGCAGUGGGGAAUAUUGGACAAUGGGCGAAAGCCUGAUCCAGCCAUGCCGCGUGUGUGAAGAAGGUCUUCGGAUUGUAAAGCACUUUAAGUUGGGAGGAAGGGCAGUAAGUUAAUACCUGGCUGUUUUGACGUUACCAACAGAAUAAGCACCGGCUAACUUCGUG